rnacentral:sRNA from 1 species
UAUUAUCUGCAUUUUGAGAGGAUGAGAACCGAUCAGAGGUUCGAGCCGAGCGUAGCGAGACAACGUUGCUUUAGCAACGACCCGUAGGGUGAGCAUGAAAUGCGAGUAAUCCUCUCUCGCCGACCA